UACAGAGGUCUCGAGCGUUGUUCGGAUUCAUUGGGCGUAAAGGGUGCGUAGGUGGCGCUGUAAGUCGGGUGUGAAAUCCUGAGGCUUAACCUCGGAACUGCAUUCGAUACUGCGGCGCUUGAGGACUGGAGAGGAGACUGGAAUUCAUGGUGUAGCAGUGAAAUGCGUAGAGAUCAUGAGGAAGACCAGUGGCGAAGGCGGGUCUCUGGGCCGAUACUGACGCUGAG
rnacentral:rRNA from 1 species